rnacentral:rRNA from 1 species
AGGUGCGAUCAUACCAGCAUUAAUGCACCGGAUUCCAUCGGAACUCCGAAGUUAAGCGUGCUUGGACAAGAAUAGUACUAAGAUGGGCUUUGUCACAGAAAUUCUACAGGCACAGUUA